AGCGAACGCUGGCGGCAGGCCUAACACAUGCAAGUCGAACGAAGUCUUCGGACUUAGUGGCGGACGGGUGAGUAACACGUGGGAACGUGCCUUUAGGUUCGGAAUAACUCCGGGAAACUUGUGCUAAUACCGAAUGUGCCCUUCGGGGGAAAGAUUUAUCGCCUUUAGAGCGGCCCGCGUCUGAUUAGCUAGUUGGUGAGGUAAAGGCUCACCAAGGCUACGAUCAGUAGCUGGUCUGAGAGGAUGACCAGCCACAUUGGGACUGAGACACGGCCCAAACUCCUACGGGAGGCAGCAGUGGGGAAUCUUGCGCAAUGGGCGAAAGCCUGACGCAGCCAUGCCGCGUGGAUGAUGAAGGUCUUAGGAUUGUAAAAUCCUCUCACCGGUGAAGAUAAUGACUGUAGCCGGAGAAGAAGCCCCGGCUAACUUCGUGCCAGCCGCCGCUGUAAAAC
rnacentral:rRNA from 1 species